GACGAACGCUGGCGGCGUGCUUAACACAUGCAAGUCGAACGGAAAGGCCCUGCUUUUGUGGGAUGCUCGAGUGGCGAAAGGGUGAGUAAAACGCGAGUAACCUGCCCUUGACAUUGGGAUAACUUCAGGAAAAUGGGGCUAAUAUCGGAUAGGAGCACCUGCUGCACGGUGGGGGUUGGUAAGAUUCGGCGGUUGGGGAUGGAAAGGUGGCCUAUCAGCUUGUUGGUGGGGUAGUGGCUUACCAAGGCUUCGACGGGUAGCCGGCCUGGGAGGGUGACCGGGCACAAUGUGACUGAGGUACGGGCCGGAGUGCUACUGGGGGAAGCGGUGAGAAAUAGUGCACAAUGGGCGGCAGCCGGGUGGAGCAACGCCGCGUGCGGGAUGACUGUCUUCGGGGUGUAAACCGCUUUCGCCUGUGACGAUGCGUGAGUGACGGUAAUGGGUAAGGAAGCACCGGCUAACUACGUG
rnacentral:rRNA from 1 species